GGGCCUGUAGUCUAGUGGCACGACGCGUCAUUCGCAUUGACGAAGCGGGGGUUCGACUCCCCCCAGGUCCA
rnacentral:tRNA from 2 species